GACGAACGCUGGCGGCGUGCUUAACACAUGCAAGUCGAGCGAGGCCCCUCCUUCGGGAGGGUGUCCUAGCGGCGAACGGGUGAGUAACACGUGGGCGACCUGCCCUCAGCUCUGGGAUAACUCCGGGAAACCGGGGCUAAUACCGGAUACGACCUCCACGGGCAUCUGCGGAGGUGGAAAGUUUUUCGGCUGAGGAUGGGCCCGCGGCCUAUCAGCUAGUUGGUGGGGUAGUGGCCCACCAAGGCGACGACGGGUAGCCGGCCUGAGAGGGCGACCGGCCACACUGGGACUGAGACACGGCCCAGACUCCUACGGGAGGCAGCAGUGGGGAAUAUUGCGCAAUGGGCGAAAGCCUGACGCAGCGACGCCGCGUGAGGGACGAAGGCCUUCGGGUUGUAAACCUCUUUCAGCAGGGACGAAGCGAAAGUGACGGUACCUGCAGAAGAAGCACCGGCCAACUACGUG
rnacentral:rRNA from 1 species